CACGUAGGUUGCGAGCGUUGUCCGGAAUUAUUGGGCGUAAAGAGCUCGUAGGCGGUGUGUCGCGUCGGCCGUGAAAACCUGCAGCUUAACUGUGGGCGUGCGGUCGAUACGGGCAUCACUGGAGUUCGGCAGGGGAGACUGGAAUUCCUGGUGUAGCGGUGAAAUGCGCAGAUAUCAGGAGGAACACCGGUGGCGAAGGCGGGUCUCUGGGACGAUACUGACGCUGAGGAGCGAAAGCGUGGGGAGCAAACAGG
rnacentral:rRNA from 1 species